UUUCUCUGUGAUGGGUUUCCUAGUCAUUUUUCAGUCAUUUCCUAGUCAUUUGUCCAGUUGCUGGAAUUUCAUGCUGCUAAAAGCAAAUUCGUGUACAGAUCCAGUACAACGUGAGAAUCUUGGCCAGUCAACAUCUGACCUGACCUGUUCAGAGCCUUCCUCUAUGGAAAUGCAGAAAGUAAAAGAGCCACUUCCUAACCACUAUUGCUUCUCGGGAGCAUAGGACUCAGAUAAAGUUCAACAUUGUUGAGUCAACAGGAAAAACCUUGAAAGUCAGGCCUUUGGUGGAUGUACGGAGAUCGGGGAAGGAUAUAUGUGAGAGAAAGAAAUAUUGUUCCAUUGAUCAAGGUAUCUCCUUCCUUCUCACUAAAG